rnacentral:lncRNA from 1 species
AUACCUGGAGUCACUGUAAAAGAUGUGAACUGGCAGGAGUUCUUCAGACCUCUGGCAGCCUUCCCCAAAAAGUCUGGAAGUUGAAAGUCCCAAGACAUGUUCAAGCUGGCCAAGCGUAAAGACCUUGCUCCCUAUAAUGACAGUUGAUUCUACACAUAGCAAUAGGUGUAGACAUAGCUUCCAUAGCACAAUAUCUGUACCUCCCAGGUGGAGCUGGGGUCGGCUCCAUGACCAAAAUCUAUGGGGGAUCUUGAGAAAUGGCCUCAGGCCCAGACACUUCAACCAAGGAUCCAAGAGUAUGGCAUGCUGGGUCCUUGUCCUGGAAGUGCUGAAAAUAGUGGAAGAGGACCAAGACAAGGGCUACAAACUAAUAACUUCAGUGCAAAGAAAUCUGGACAGAAUUGCAGGAUAGGUGGUGACUGCCAACAGGAAG